rnacentral:rRNA from 1 species
AUUCUCGCUUGCGAGAGUGACGAGUGGCGCACGGGUGCGUAACGCGUAUGCAACCUACCCUUUACUGGGGGAUAGCCCGGAGAAAUUCGGAUUAAUACCCCAUGGUAUCACCAGAUGGCAUCUGAAGGUGAUUAAAGAUUUAUCGGUAAAGGAUGGGCAUGCGUGACAUUAGCUAGUUGGUGAGGUAACGGCUCACCAAGGCAACGAUGUCUAGGGGUUCUGAGAGGAUGAUCCCCCACACUGGUACUGAGAUACGGACCAGACUCCUACGGGAGGCAGCAGUAGGGAAUAUUGGUCAAUGGGCGAGAGCCUGAACCAGCCAUGCCGCGUGCAGGAAGACGGCCUUCUGGGUUGUAAACUGCUUUUAUAUAGGAACAAAAAGGCCAUGCGUGGCAAACUGAGUGUACUAUAUGAAUAAGCACCGGCUAACUCCGUGCCAGCAGCCGCGGUAAUACGGAGGGUGCAAGCGUUGUCCGGAUUUAUUGGGUUUAAAGGGUGCGUAGGCGGUCAAUUAAGUCAGUGGUGAAAUCCUGCAGCUCAACUGUAGAACUGCCAUUGAUACUGGUUGACUUGAGUAUAGACGAGGUAGGCGGAAUUUAUGGUGUAGCGGUGAAAUGCAUAGAUACCAUAAAGAACACCAAUAGCGAAGGCAGCUUACUAGACUAUAACUGACGCUGAGGCACGAAAGCGUGGGGAGCGAACAGGAUUAGAUACCCUGGUAGUCCACGCUGUAAACGAUGCUCACUCGAUGUAUGCGAUACACAGUAUGCGUCCAAGCGAAAGCGUUAAGUGAGCCACCUGGGGAGUACGCCGGCAACGGUGAAACUCAAAGGAAUUGA